rnacentral:rRNA from 1 species
GACGAACGCUGGCGGCGUGCUUAACACAUGCAAGUCGAACGGAAAGGCCUCUUUCGGGGGGUACUCGAGUGGCGAACGGGUGAGUAACACGUGAGUAACCUGCCCUUGACUUUGGGAUAACUUCAGGAAACUGGGGCUAAUACCGGAUAGGAGCUCCUGCUGCAUGGUGGGGGUUGGAAAGUUUCGGCGGUUGGGGAUGGACUCGCGGCUUAGCAGCUUGUUGGUGGGGUAGUGGCUUACCAAGGCUUUGACGGGUAGCCGGCCUGAGAGGGUGACCGGCCACAUUGGGACUGAGAUACGGCCCAGACUCCUACGGGAGGCAGCAGUGGGGAAGAUUGCACAAUGGGUGGAAGCCUGAUGCAGCAACGCCGUGUGCGGGAUGACGGCCUUCGGGUUGUAAACCGCUUUCGCUCAUGACGAAGCUUUGUGUGACGGUAGUGGGUAAAGAAGCACCGGCUAACUACGUG